rnacentral:rRNA from 1 species
UACGUAGGGUGCAAGCGUUGUCCGGAAUUAUUGGGCGUAAAGAGCUCGUAGGCGGUCUGUCGCGUCUGCUGUGAAAUCUCAGGGCUUAACCCUGAGCUUGCAGUGGGUACGGGCAGACUAGAGUGCGGUAGGGGAGACUGGAAUUCCUGGUGUAGCGGUGAAAUGCGCAGAUAUCAGGAGGAACACCGGUGGGCGAAGGCGGGGUCUCUGGGCCGUAACUGACGCUGGAGGAGCGAAAGCAUGGGGAGCGAACAGG